rnacentral:rRNA from 1 species
UUGGAGGGGCAAAGUCUGGUGCCAGCAGCCGCGGUAAUUCCAGCUCCAAUAGCGUAUAUUUAAAGUUGUUGCAGUUAAAAAGCUCGUAGUUGAAUUUCGGGAUCAGUACGCUGGUCGUGCCUCCGGUAUGUACUGGUGUCACUGGUUCCUCCCUUCUGAAGAACCAUCAUGCUAUUAAUUUAGUGUGGUGGGAAAUCAGGACUGUUACUUUGAAAAAAUUAGAGUGUUUAAAGCAGGCUCACGCUUGAAUACAUUAGCAUGGAAUAAUGAAAUAGGACGUUGAUCCUAUUUUGUUGGUUUCUAGGAUUGACGUAAUGAUUAAUAGGGAUAGUUGGGGGCAUUAGUAUUCAAUUGUCAGAGGUGAAAUUCUUGGAUUUAUUGAAGACUAACUACUGCGAAAGCAUUUGCCAAGGAUGUUUUCAUUAAUCAAGAACGAAAGUUAGGGGAUCGAAGACGAUCAGAUACCGUCGUAGUCUUAACCAUAAACUAUGCCGACUAGGGAUCGGAUGAUGUUAAUUUUUUAAUGACUCAUUCGGCGCCUUACGGGAAAC